AAGUGGAUCACUUGAGCUCAGGAGUUCGAGACCACCUGAAGCAUGUGCCUUGCAAAGCACUGACUUCAUUACAUUACAGUUCUGUUUCUCUGCCUCUAUCCCCACUGGACUCCUGUCCAGACAUAAGAGUACUUGUUAAACACUGCAAGUACUUAGACACCUACUUGAAGGGGUCAGCCUAAGAGACCCAGCUUUUCUCUUCUGAGUGCCCCCACCUCAGAGGCUUUCUUGUCUCAGGGCAUCAGUACCAAGAUCUGUCUGUAUCAAGGUCCUCUGACCCAAGGAGGAAGGGAAAGGCAGAGAACUUGAUCACAGAACAGAUUGGCAACCACCACAUUUUGCCCUCAAAACUGCUUUUCAAGGGGAUGAUUUACAUCUGUAGCCAAUCUGUACUGAGGCAACCAGGCGUUCAAUUGUCUGGACCCAGGAAAGAUUAUCUGAGAGUCUGAUAUUUUGUUUAUUUAUUAUUUAUUUUUGAGAUGGAGUCUCACUCUGNNNNNNNNNNGUGCUGGGAUUACAGGCAUGAGCCACCACGCCCUGCUGAAUCUGAUACUUUUAAAGGUCUGAAAGAAACAUUUACCAUCUGUUCUCUUUGAGGGCUGCCACCUCUGUGGUUUUAUUUGUGUAGCAA
rnacentral:lncRNA from 1 species